rnacentral:pre_miRNA from 1 species
GAUUUCAACUGAAAAAUUCAUCAAUAACAAAGUUGUAUAAAUCAUCAAGAUCUAUAACUUUUAUUUUGGUCAUUUUUUCAUCCGAUAAAGUUAUUUGUAAGAUUGUUCACAAAAUGUACAUAUCUCUUAUAUAGUUUAUAAAACUAUAAGAGAGAUGUACAUUUUGCGAACAAUCUUAUAAAUAUCUUUGUCGGACGACGAAAUGACCAAAAUAAAAGUUAUAUAUCUUGAUGAGUUAUACAACUUUGUUGUUGAUAACUUUUUCAGCUGAAAUC